CUAAGGAAAGAUGUAAUAAA
rnacentral:piRNA from 1 species